UGCGCUGAAGUUCAAACACCAGAGAGAGCUUGCUGAUGAGGUUCCCAUGGAAAUACAACAGAUUCACCAAGUCAUCCCCCUUACUGACAUCAUUGAUGUUACCCAGGAGGAAAUACAGCUGAUUCACCAAGUCACCCCCCUUACUGACAUCAUUGAUGCUACCCAGGAGGAUACAUCUCUCCUCACGGAGGAAAUCUUCUUCUCUCAACGAAGCUCUCAUCACACAGCAUUCAGAAAGUUCUGGAUCAACUGUUCUGUUGGACCCGGCCCAGCCAGACCCUGAUGAGCCCAUCUUCAUCCUCUCCCUGACUGAAAUCCCUUUCUUCCCCACGGAGGAGGAGUAUGGCUGUACAUCCCAGACCCUCUCCGAGCCCCUCUCUUUUCUACCGGUCGCAGACGCAUGCUCUCAACUGCAGCAGAGCAGUGAUAUUGUUGGCCCUGGAUGUGGUUUGGAGGGAAGGGUAUGCUGGUAUCCUCUGUAAAGCCCCUGAGCCCA